rnacentral:rRNA from 1 species
UACAGAGGGGGCAAGCGUUGUUCGGAAUUACUGGGCGUAAAGGGCGCGUAGGCGGCCUGUUAAGUCGAACGUGAAAUCCCCGGGCUCAACCCGGGAACUGCGUCCGAUACUGGCAGGCUUGAAUCCGGGAGAGGGAUGCGGAAUUCCAGGUGUAGCGGUGAAAUGCGUAGAUAUCUGGAGGAACAUCGGUGGCGAAGGCGGCAUCCUGGACCGGUAUUGACGCUGAGGCGCGAAAGCCAGGGGGAGCAAACGGGGAUAGA